rnacentral:rRNA from 1 species
UACGGGGGCAAGCGUUGUUCGGAAUUACUGGGCGUAAAGGGCUCGUAGGCGGCCAACUAAGUCGGAUGUGAAAUCCCCAGGCUUAACCUGGGAAUUGCAUCCGAUACUGGAUGGCUUGAAUCCGGGAGAGGGAUGCGGAAUUCCAGGUGUAGCGGUGAAAUGCGGUAGAUAUCUGGAGGAACACCGGUGGCGAAGGCGGCAUCCUGGACCGG